UACGUAGGGUCCGAGCGUUGUCCGGAAUUAUUGGGCGUAAAGAGCUCGUAGGCGGUUUGUCGCGUCUGCUGUGAAAUCCCGAGGCUCAACCUCGGGUCUGCAGUGGGUACGGGCAGACUGGAGUGCGGUAGGGGAGAUUGGAAUUCCUGGUGUAGCGGUGGAAUGCGCAGAUAUCAGGAGGAACACCGAUGGCGAAGGCAGAUCUCUGGGCCAUUACUGACGCUGAGGAGCGAAAGCGUGGGGAGCGAACAGG
rnacentral:rRNA from 1 species